rnacentral:rRNA from 1 species
GGGGAAUCUUCCGCAAUGGGCAGCAAGCCUGACGGAGCAAGACCGCGUGCGGGAGGACGGCCUAUUGGUUGUAAACCGCUUUUGAUAGGGAAGAAGCUCUGACGGUACCUAUCGAAUCAGCAUCGGCUAACUCCGUGCCAGCAGCCGCGGUAAUACGGAGGAUGCAAGCGUUAUCCGGAAUUAUUGGGCGUAAAGCGUCCGUAGGUGGUUGUUCAAGUCUGCUGUUAAAGCGUGCGGCUUAACCGCAUACCAGCAGUGGAAACUGGGCGACUAGAGUGCGGUAGGGGUCAGGGGAAUUCCCAGUGUAGCGGUGAAAUGCGUAGAUAUUGGGAAGAACACCAGCGGCGAAAGCGCGUGACUGGGCCUGAACUGACACUGAGGGACGAAAGCUAGGGGAGCGAAUGGGAUUAGAUACCCCAGUAGUC